GACGAACGCUGGCGGCGUGCUUAACACAUGCAAGUCGAACGGAAAGGCCCCCUUGUGGGGUACUCGAGUGGCGAACGGGUGAGUAACACGUGAGUAACCUACCCUUGACUUUGGGAUAACUUCAGGAGACUGGGGCUAAUACCGGAUAGGAGCUCCUGCUGCAUGGUGGGGGUUGGAAAGUUUCGGCGGUUGGGGAUGGACUCGCGGCUUAUCAGCUUGUUGGUGGGGUAGUGGCUCACCAAGGCUUUGACGGGUAGCCGGCCUGAGAGGGUGACCGGCCACAUUGGGACUGAGAUACGGCCCAGACUCCUACGGGAGGCAGCAGUGGGGAAUAUUGCACAAUGGGCGGAAGCCUGAUGCAGCAACGCCGCGUGCGGGAUGACGGCCUUCGGGUUGUAAACCGCUUUCGCCUGUGACGAAGCGUGAGUGACGGUAAUGGGUAAAGAAGCACCGGCUAACUACGUG
rnacentral:rRNA from 1 species